UUUCCGUAGGUGAACCUGCGGAAGGAUCAUUAAUGAGUUGUCAUGGGGUUCGAUGCUGGCAGCCAGUUUUUGGAUGCAUGUGCUUGCCCUAACAAUCAUCUUCUUCCAAACACCUGUGCACAUUUUGGAGGGAGUCUUGAGUUGGUGGCCGCUCUUGGGUGAUUUUCUCACAUUCCCUUAAAUCAUUAUACGCUAUUAACAAUGUUGAACGUGCUCUGUGCCGCAAGGCCAUUAAUAUAAUACAACUUUUAACAACGGAUCUCUUGGCUCUC
rnacentral:misc_RNA from 1 species